rnacentral:rRNA from 2 species
GGAUUAGGCAUGCAAGUCGAACGAGAAAGCCUUUUUCGGAAGGCAAGUAAAGUGGCGGACGGGUGAGUAAUGCAUAGAUCACUUACCCCUGAGAUGGGAAUAACGUUUCGAAAGGAACGCUAAUACUCAAUGUUGCCUUGGCUCUUCGGAGUCAAGAUGAAAGGAGGCCUCUGAUUUAAGCUUCCGCUCAGGGAGAGGUUUAUGUCCUAUUAGCUUGUUGGUGAGGUAAAGGCUCACCAAGGCUGCGAUGGGUAGCCGGCCUGAGAGGGUGACCGGCCACAUUGGGACUGAGACACUGCCCAGACUCCUACGGGAGGCUGCAGUCGAGAAUCUUCCGCAAUGCGCGCAAGCGUGACGGAGCGACGCCGCGUGGGUGACGAAGGCCUUCGGGUUGUAAAGCCCUGUCAGUAACCGGGGAUUGCAGGCGGUGAACAACUGUCCUGUUUGACCAGGUUGCAGAGGAAGCACCGGCUAAAUACGUGCCAGCAGCCGCGGUAAUACGUAUGGUGCAAACGUUGUUCGGAAUCACUGGGCCUAAAGAGCGCGUAGGCGGUUUGGUAAGUCAGGUGUGAAAUCCCUCGGCUCAACCGGGGAACUGCACCUGAUACUGUCUGACUAGAGUGCAGGAGGGGAGAGUGGAAUUCCUUGUGGAGCGGUGAAAUGCGUAGAUAUCAGGAGGAACGCCGGCGGCGAAAGCGACUCUCUGGCCUGCCACUGACGCUGAGGCGCGAAAGCUAGGGGAGCAAACGGGAUUAGAUACCCCGGUAGUCCUAGCCCUAAACGAUGGGCACUAAGUAGAGGGGUUUUA